CCUACGGGAGGCAGCAGUGAGGAAUAUUGGUCAAUGGACGCAAGUCUGAACCAGCCAUGCCGCGUGCAGGAAGACGGCUCUAUGAGUUGUAAACUGCUUUUGUACGAGGGUAAACGCAGAUACGCGUAUCUGUCUGAAAGUAUCGUACGAAUAAGGAUCGGCUAACUCCGUGCCAGCAGCCGCGGUAAUACGGAGGAUUCAAGCGUUAUCCGGAUUUAUUGGGUUUAAAGGGUGCGUAGGCGGUCGGAUAAGUUAGAUGUGAAAUCCCGAGGCUCAACUUCGGGAUUGCCUCUGAUACUGUUCGGCGAGAGAGUAGUUGCGGUAGGCGGAAUGUAUGGUGUAGCGGUGAAAUGCUUAGAGAUCAUACGGAACACCGAUUGCGAAGGCAGCUUACCAAGCUACUUCUGACGUUGAGGCACGAAAGCGUGGGGAGCAAACAGGAUUAGAUACCCUGGUAGUC
rnacentral:rRNA from 1 species